rnacentral:rRNA from 1 species
GACAGAGGGGGCAAGCGUUGCUCGGAAUCACUGGGCGUAAAGGGCGCGUAGGCGGUCAGCACAAGUCAGUUGUGAAAUCUCCGGGCUUAACUCGGAAAGGUCAACUGAUACUGUGCGACUAGAGUGCAGAAGGGGCAACUGGAAUUCUCGGUGUAGCGGUGAAAUGCGUAGAUAUCGAGAGGAACACCUGCGGCGAAGGCGGGUUGCUGGGCUGACACUGACGCUGAUGCGCGAAAGCCAGGGGAGCGAAGCGGG